GGAUCCAGACUUUGAUCAUGGCUCAGGAUGAACGCUGGCGGCGUGCCUAACACAUGCAAGUCGAACGGAAUUUACGUGAAGCCUAGCGAUUGUAAAUUUAGUGGCGGACGGGUGAGUAACGCGUGGGUAACCUGCCUUGUACUGGGGGACAACAGUUGGAAACGACUGCUAAUACCGCAUAAGCGCACAGCUUCGCAUGAAGCAGUGUGAAAAACUCCGGUGGUACAAGGUGGACCCGCGUCAGAUUAGCUGGUUGGUGAGGUAACGGCCCACCAAGGCGACGAUCAGUAGCCGGCCUGAGAGGGUGAACGGCCACAUUGGGACUGAGACACGGCCCAAACUCCUACGGGAGGCAGCAGUGGGGAAUAUUGCACAAUGGGGGAAACCCUGAUGCAGCAACGCCGCGUGAGUGAAGAAGUAUUUCGGUAUGUAAAGCUCUAUCAGCAGGAAAGAAAAUGACGGUACCUGACUAAGAAGCCCCGGCUAACUACGUGCCAGCAGCCGCGGUAAUACGUAGGGGGCAAGCGUUAUCCGGAUUUACUGGGUGUAAAGGGAGCGUAGACGGUUUUGCAAGUCUGAAGUGAAAGCCCGGGGCUUAACCCCGGGACUGCUUUGGAAACUGUAGGACUAGAGUGCAGGAGAGGUAAGUGGAAUUCCUAGUGUAGCGGUGAAAUGCGUAGAUAUUAGGAGGAACACCAGUGGCGAAGGCGGCUUACUGGACUGUAACUGACGUUGAGGCUCGAAAGCGUGGGGAGCAAACAGGAUUAGAUACCCUGGUAGUCCACGCCGUAAACGAUGAUUACUAGGUGUGGUGGGUAUGACCCAUCGGUGCCGCAGCAAACGCAAUAAGUAAUCCACCUGGGGAGUACGUUCGCAAGAAUGCAACUCAAAGGAAUUGACG
rnacentral:rRNA from 1 species